AUAACUGAUAGUAUCCCAGAAUCCUCAAACAUAGUCUCGAAUAGGUGUGUACAAACAAAGCGACGCCUUCCCGCGAUCCUGAGAAGUACAUGAAACAAAUAUCACACAACACGGUAAGCACAAAGUUUAAUGAGUUCCCCAAAAUACCACAUACACAAAUAAUAAACUUCUCAUUGCUAUAACUCGGCAUGUUCCCCAAAAUACCACAAACAUAAAUCAUAAGCUUCUCAUUGCUAUAACUCGGCAUGGAUCCUCCGGUCUCAUGCGUCUCGGUGUGGACCAUCUGGUCAUGUGUCUCAUUAAAGACUCUCUGGUCUCACAGUUUGGGUUGGACCCUUCAUUCCUAUAUCUCAGUGAAGACCCUCCGGUCUCACAACUUGGUUUGGACCCUCCGGUCCUAACUCAGUAAAGCACAGAAUAAUAUAGUAUAUAUCACAAAGACAAAAUGUAUAAUGUCACAUAACUCAAUAUAAGCACAUAUGACCCUCCAGUCAAUAACUUAAAUAAGACCCUCUAGUCACUUAGUGUUACCACUUAUGUAAGUAUAGUGAGAAGACUCACCUCGGAAGUAAGCAAGUAGAUCUAGCACCCCACGAACAAUCUAGACUCCGCCUACAUAAUGUAAUUAUCUCUAAUAAGCAAUUUGUAAUAACUACUCUGAGAUGCUAAGCUAACUCCUCCACUAAAUCUCAAAAAGGAUGAAAAUACCAUUUUACCUCUCCAUGAUCUCUAAAGUCCACAGUUGACCAAACCCUAAAAGUCAACGAAAGUCAAUGCUCAAGUCAAUGGUCCAUGUUGACUAAACUCAUCCAGUGCAUCCACACGACUCGUUGAGUUCCUCCGUUUUUCUUAGAAGUAUCGAGAAAAUCCAACUCAACUCGUCGAGUUGUCUCAUCAACUUGGCGAGUUACAACGUGUCCAGACCCAUCGGGGAAAACCCUAACCGACUCGUCGAGUCAACUCACCGAAUCGUCGAGCCCCUUCAGUCCAUUUUCUCAUUCAGAUGUUUUUAGGUGGAAAUGAUGUCUCAUACUCUGGAUCUAACCUUCUAAGGCACACUUAUCACGUAAAGCUGCAAGCUUUACGUUCAUGCAUGGCAUUUAGGGCUCAAAAUGCCAAAACAAGCUCCAUAAAGGGUUUCAUGCAUGGAGACUUGCCCAAAGCUAGAUAAAGCUUGGAUCUUUGGGCUUAUGGGACCUCCUUUUGUCCAAAUCUGGAGUCACAACUCCAUGACAAGCUCCACCAACUCACGAUCCACAAGAUAAGAGGGAAAAAUCCCUAAAACUCCCUUGAAGAAGAUAUAUUAAAAGAAAUGCUCAAGGUGGUAGCUUUUUACCUCCAAACUGAAGCUAGCAUAGAAAAACACUUGAUCCAAAAGCAUCUUCUCGUUCCAAGACUUGAUGCUCUUCAAUCCUCUUCCAAAGAUGCACUAGAUAGGACACAAACCCUGAAAAUUAGGGUUUUCUCACUCAGCUCCUACUCGUCGAGUUGGGGUCCUCCAACUCAUCGAGUAAACUCUAGAAAUCACGCGGUCAUUAACUCCUCUACUCGGCGAGUUGGGGAAUCCAACUCGUCGAGUUUCUCUGACAUUAUGAAUAUAAAAUAAUUAAAUAUUACACCUGGGAGUCGGGAUGUUACAUGUAUGGCAGGUAUCCCUGACAAUUCUCGACACGACCCGCGAUACAACCCACGACACGACAUGAAAUAAACGGGUUUGGGUUGAGCUUUUCACACCGUCAACUCGCCAACCCAUCAACCCGUUUAUUAAACAGGUCAUAUAUGAGUUUCUCAAAAAAAAUAUGGGUUGACCCGUCAACCCAUUUAGAAUUUUGAAUAAAAAAAUUCAUAUAACCCAUGAACACAGGAAACCAAAUCAGACCCACAAACCCAAAUCUAACCCAUGAACCCAACCUACGAACAUAGGAACCCAAAUCUAACUCACGAACCCGCCAACCUGUAAACCCGUAUAAAUAAGUGGGUUGACGGGUCAUAUAUAAGUUUCUCAAAAAAUAUACGGGUUNNNNNNNNNNNNNNNNNNNNNNNNNNNNNNNNNNNNNNNNNUAUAUAUAUAUAUAUAUAUAUAUGUAUGUAUGUAUAUAUAUAUAUAUAUAUAUGUAUUAAGCGAGUAUUAUACACUAUACAGUUUAUACUUUAUACUAAAAUAGGAUACCCGAUACCAUUAACCAUUUGACAUUUGGCGUUUGCCCUAAAUAAUCUCAAUAUCUCACAAACAAAAUCGAAUAAGCCCUCUGUUGCUCUCCCCUUUGUGAUGAACGGCAGAAUGGACUCACAAAGAACGAUGACAUGAAUAAUUAAAUCAUUAUUUAACGACAUCGACGCCUGAACAUGAACGACGAACGCACAACGUAGUAAGCAAUUGAUUUGCUACGAUCCAACCUACGAACACAAGAACCCAAAUCUAACCCACGAACCCGACAACCUGUAAACCCGUAUAAAUAAGUGGGUUGACAGGUCAUAUACAAGGACGGAUCUAGUAUGGUGCCAACGGUGGCACCGGCAACACCUAGUUUUUCUCGACGUAGUGCAAAAUUUUCGAUUUUUGUUCCUUUUUUUCUACUAUAAAAUGUGCCACCGGCAACACCUACUAUGGAUCGACAACACCUAUUACGGACCGGCAACACCUACUACAAAAUCCUGCGUCCGUCCCUGGUCAUAUAUGAGUUUAUGUUCCAAACCUGUCAACCUGUGACUUGUAUAGUUAAAUGGGUCGUGUUCGGGUUGGUAUAUUUUGACACGUCAACCCGCCAACCUGCGACCUACAAACCCAAACACAAUACGAUUGUCAGACCUAUUGGCAGGAUCUGAAUUUUUAAGAGGUCUGAAUUUCUAAAAGAGUCUGAAUUUUUAAGAUCUGAAUUUUGAAAUGUUGUUUGGUUUGAACCUCUAAAUUACAUUGUUGAAGGAUAAAAAUGACCAUUUUACCAUUUUGUAUCAUUUUUGCCGAAUUCAAUGUUUUUGUUUAUAAAAUAACCAAAUCAACUUCUUGAAUAAUUAUAUAUAUANUUGUUUUAAUCAUAUAUGGUUUUCUAAUUAUGUUUGAAUUUAUAUAUUUUAGAAAAAAACAUAGAAGUGCCUAAAGAGAAAAAAAUCAAGAAAAUCACCAACAAAGAGAGUUGAAAAAGGUAUAUUUCAAUAACAAAUGAUUAUAUAUAUAUAUAUAUAUAUAUAAUCCAAAUCAAACAUAAAUUUAUGAAUAUUUAAUUAUUAACUUUUGUACAAAUCCAUAAUUAUAUCUAGUCAUGCAUCUAAUUACAUACAAACAAAACUCUUCACAAGUGGAAUUUCAUUCCAUUCCAACAUCAACUCAUUCUCAUUACCUUAAAAACAUAUGUGAUGAAACCCGUCAAAUUGGAAACAUGAUUUUAAACCAUCAUCUUACCCAUUAAUCACUAUCAUAACCCAAAUUUUUUCAAAAAAAAGACCCAAAUGAACAAACAGGCCAUACCAAAUGAAUUCAGCAGAUGAACUCAAUUUCAACUAUACAUACACAAAUGUUUCAAUUUCAUAAUUCCAUUUCAACAAAUGAAUUCAAAAAUAAUUUAGCACAUAAGAAAAUUCAACACAAUAAAGAACAAAGAACACAUUUUCAACAAAUGAACACAUAAUUCAGCAAGAUCAAGAAUCAGAUUUCAACACAAAUCAGCAAGACCGACAAUAUAUUUCAGCUAUACAUACACAUAUAAAACAAAGAACAAAUUAGAACAAAGAACACAUUUUCAGCAAUAUUGUUCAACAACUAAACACAAACUCAGCAAAUUUCAACAACAUAUUUCAACUAUACACACAUACAUUUCAGAAAUCAACAAAAACAACAAGAUCAUCAAAUUAUAUUUCAGAAUUCAACCCAUAUCAACAUUUGCAGAAAACAGCACAUACCAAGAGGGAAGACCAAUUUCAUCAGAUUUCUCAAGAAAAACCGCACAUAUCAAAAGAAGAAAAACUGCACAUAGCAAGAGAGAAGACCAAUUUGAUCAGAUUUAUCAAGAAAAAUCGCACAUAGCAAGAGAUGAAAACAACAUAUUGGCAAAGAAAUUAACUAUAGAAGUCGUGGGAGGUAAAGUUGCCGGAGGCACAACUGUCGCCGGAGGUAGAGAAACCAUCGGUGACGGCGAUUGCAGUGACGAGCUUCAGCAGAUUAUCGAUGGCAGGAAUGGAUUUUUUGUGUGUGUCGAUGAAAAAGAACAUAAUGGAAGCGUGCUGAGAAGAAAAGAAUAGCGUGAUUUGUAGGGUAGGGCACUUCGGUCUUUUUUAUUUUUUAGAUAUAAUAUGAAGUCUGAUUUUUUAAGAGGCUAUUAUCCAAUUCAGAUGUAAUUUAUAAGAGACAAACAACAAGUCUUAUCUGAAUUUUUAAGAUGUUACCUCUUAAAUUUUC
rnacentral:lncRNA from 1 species